rnacentral:rRNA from 1 species
UACGUAGGAGGCGAGCGUUGUCCGGAGUUAUUGGGCGUAAAGAGCUCGUAGGCGGUUUGUCGCGUCUGCUGUGAAAACUCAGGACUUAACCCUGAGCCUGCAGUGGGUACGGGCAGACUAGAGUGUGGUAGGGGAGAUCGGAAUUCCUGGUGUAGCGGUGAAAUGCGCAGAUAUCAGGAGGAACACCAAUGGCGAAGGCAGCUCGCUGGGACGUGACUGACGCUGAGACGCGAAAGCGUGGGGAGCAAACAGG